rnacentral:tRNA from 1 species
AUUUUAAUAGCUUAAAUAAAGCAUAAUAUUGAAGAUAUUAGGAAGAAAUAUUAUUUCUUAAAGUA